rnacentral:lncRNA from 1 species
UCUUUCUCUAUCUCUGAAUUUGUCUGUCUCUGUCUGUCUCUGUCUCUGUGUCUCUGUCUCUGUGUCUGUGUCUCUGUCUCUCCCUGUCUCUCUCAGUGUCUCUCUCACUUUAUCUCUAUCUCUGUCUCUGUGUCUCCAUCUCUGUUUCUUUCUCUCUAUGUCUCUUUGUCUCUGUCUCUGUCUCUGUGUCUCUGUUUCUGUCUCUGUGUCUCUCUGUCUCUGUCUCUGUCUCUCUAUGUCUCUGUGUCUCUGUGUCUGUCUCUGUCUCUGUGUCUCUGUCUCUCCCUGUCUCUCUCAGUGUCUCUCUCACUUUAUCUCUAUCUCUGUCUCUGUGUCUCCGUCUCUGUUUCUUUCUCUCUAUGUCUCUUUGUCUCUGUCUCUCUGUCUCUGUCUCUGUGUCUCUGUUUCUGUCUCUGUGUCUCUGUGUCUCUGUCUCUCAGUGUCUCUGUGUCUCUGUGUCUGUCUCUGUCUCUGUGUCUCUGUGUCUGUCUCUGUCUAUCUCUGUGUCUGUGUCUCUGUCUCUCUCAGUGUCUCUCUCACUUUAUCUCUAUCUCUGUCUCUGUGUCUCCGUCUCUGUUUCUUUCUCUCUGUGUCUCUUUGUCUCUGUAUCUGUCUCUCAGUGUCUCUGUUUCUGUCUCUGUGUCUCUGUCUCUCAGUGUCUCUGUGUCUCUGUCUGUCUGUCUCUCUCUGUCUCUGUCUCUGUGUCUGUGUAUCUCUGUCUCUGUCUGUCUGUCUGUCUCUGUCUCUUUGUCUCUGUGUCUCUUUGUCUCUGUCUCUGUGUCUCUGUGUCUCUUUGUCUCUUUGUCUCUGUCUCUGUCUGUCUCUGUCUGUCUCUGUGUCUCUCUGUCUGUCUGUCUCUGUCUCUCUGCCUGUCUCUGUCUCUAUCUCUGUCUCUCUCUGUGUCUCUAUCUCUGUCUCCCCGGGCCUCGAACCCGGAUCCCCGCUGACCACUUCCGCCGGGCGCGGGCCUCGAACCCGGGUCCCCCCCCCCCCCCGCGUACCUGGGCGGGGUCGAAGCCCUGGAGCAUGCGCAGCAGCCGCGGGAGCCGCAGCCUCGUGUCCUCCUCGCAGAAGAAGAUCCACGACGCGUCCCCGUGGGCCGCCGCGAGGCUGGGGGAGAGGGGAGAGGCCGGGGCUGGGGCGCGGGGGACCCGGGUUCGAGUCCUCCCAAC